rnacentral:rRNA from 1 species
UACGUAGGGUGCGAGCGUUGUCCGGAAUUAUUGGGCGUAAAGAGCUCGUAGGCGGUGUGUCACGUCGGCCGUGAAAACCUGCAGCUUAACUGUGGGCGUGCGGUCGAUACGGGCAUCACUGGAGUUCGGCGGGGGAGACUGGAAUUCCUGGUGUAGCGGUGAAAUGCGCAGAUAUCAGGAGGAACACCGGUGGCGAAGGCGGGUCUCUGGGCCGAUACUGACGCUGGGGAGCGAAAGCGUGGGGAGCAAACGGG